rnacentral:lncRNA from 1 species
AUGAGGACCUCCAAGACCCCCAAGUCCACUUUGGGGUCACCCAACGGCGGCGUGAGGACCUCCGGGACCCCCAAAUUUGCCUUGAGGGCACCCAACGCCAACGUGAUCAUCUACGGGACCCCCACGUCUCACUGGGGGUCACCCAACUGCUGCACGAGCACCCAUGGGACCCCCAAGUCCACCUUGGGGUCACCCAACGGCAGCGUGAGCACCUCUGGGACCCCCAAAUCCGCCUUGGGGUCACCCAACAGCAUCACGAGCACCUCUGGGACCCCCAAGUCCACGUCGGGGCCACCCAACAUCUGCUCGGGGUCUUCCAAGACCUCCCGCGUCUCCCCUGGGGGCCCCCGGCACCGGCUCAUGGACCUCCUGGACCCCCACGUCCCCCCUGGGGGCACCCAGGACCGAAUCGAGGACCUCCGGGACCCCCACGUCCUUCUGGGGACACCCACCACCAAAUCGAGGACCUCCGGGACCCCCACGUCCUACUUGGGGUCACCCACCACCAAAUUGAGGACCUCUGGGACCCACAUGUCCUCCUUGGGGGCACCCACCACCAAAUCAAGGACCUCCGGGACCCACAUGUCCUACUUGGAGGCUCCCACCACUGAAUUGAGGACCUCUGGGACCCACAUGUCCUCCUUGGGGGCACCCACCACCAAAUCAAGGACCUCCGGGACCCACAUGUCCUCUUUGGGGGCACCCACCACCAAACCGAGGACCUCUAGGACGCCCACGUUCUCCUUGGGGGCACCCACCACCAAAUCAAGGACUUCUGGGACCCCCACGUUCUCCUUGGGGGCACCCACCACUGAAUUGAGGACCUCCGGGACCCACAUGUCCUCCCUGGGGGCACGUGCCGCCAAAUCAAGGACUUCUGGGACCCCCAUGUCCUGCGUGGAGGCACCUGGCUGCACCCCAUGGACUUCCGGGACCCCCAUGUCCUCUUUGGGGGCACCCACCACCAAAUCGAGGACUUCUGGGACCCCCACGUUCUCCUUGGGGGCACCCACCACUGAAUUAAGGACCUCUAGGACCCCCACGUCCCACUUGGGGGCACCUGGCUGCACCCCAUGGACUUCCGGGACCCCCAUGUCCUUCUGGGGAGAACCCACCACCAAAUCGAGGACCUCUAGGACCCCCAUGUCCUCCUUGGGGGUACUUUCCUGCACCCCAUGGACUUCCGGGACCCCCAUGUCCUCCUUGGAGGCACCCACCACCAAAUCGAGGAUGUCUAGGACCCCCAUGUCCUCCUUGGGGGUACUUUCCUGCACCCCAUGGACUUCCGGGACCCCCAUGUCCUCCUUGGGGGCACCCACCACCAAAUCGAGGAUGUCUAAGACCCCCACGUUCUUCUGGGGAGAACCCACCACCAAAUUGAGGAGAUCUAGGACCCCCCAUGUCCUCCUUGGGGGUACCUGGCUGCACCCCAUGGACCUCUAGGACCCCCACAUCAUCUGUGGGGGCACCCACCACUGAAUUGAGGACCUCUGGGACCCCCACGUCCUCCUUGGGGGCACCCACCACCAAAUUGAGGAGAUCUAGGACCCCCAUGUCCUCCUUGGGGGUACUUGCCUGCACCCCAUGGACUUCCGGGACCCCCAUGUCCUCCUGGGGGCAGGACCUCUAGGACCCCCGUGUCCUACUUGGGGGCACCCACCACCAAAUUGAGGAUGUCUAGGACCCCCACGUCCUAUUUGGGGGGCACCCACCACCGAGUUGAGGACCUCUAGGACCCCCACGUCCUCCUGGGGGGCACCCACCACCAAAUUGAGGAUGUCUAGGACCCCCACGUUCCUCCUCGGGG